rnacentral:misc_RNA from 1 species
AUUAGGCGGUUUUCCUCGAAUGAAUAAUCUGCUUCAUAUUCGUGAAGCUGGCCUGUAGAUUUCUAAAAAUUGCUUGAUUUUUCUUAUUAAACUUUCAAACUAAAGGAUUGUGUAUACCAAGAUAUGUCAGGGAAAACAAUCCAUCAUAUCGAAAUUAUUAAUUGUAUCAAAUGUAAAACUGAAGAAAAAUAUUAUGUAAGUAUUUUUUUAUUUGAAAAAGAUAAUAGGAGUUUUUGAUGAUACAACAAAAUACUAGCAUUUGAAGUAACAGCUAAUCUGGAGAUGGACACCAAAACAUCUAAACUUAAAAUAUCAGUAAGUCGAAGAAAGGCCAAAAAUCUAAAUACUACCAAUAUUGCGAGUUGUCAUGUUAAAUCGUUAAGUUUUUUGUGGCCUUCUAUUUAAUUUUGGCAGGCUACCAGUAGAAUUCCUUUGAAUAAAUAUUUUAUAUUAAUAAAAAUGAAAUUGAGAAGAAAAAAUUGUUUAAAAACAUUGCUUAUGUUGGCAUUUUUAGUUGCUAAUUAAAUCCUAGCUGCUGGUGUCCGAUAUCAAUCUGGUUCUAAGUUAGAAGGAUAUCUACUUGUUUAAAAAAUUUUGAUCUACCUAUUUAAGUAGAAUGCAGAGUAGCUAACAAUCCAAAAAAAGUACAUGUCUAUAUUAUCAAUUACGGUCAAUGUGUAUCUUGAAAAAUGUUAUGUCAGUUUUAUUAGUUACUAAUAUUAUUUAAGAAAAUCAAACUGCAAGUUUUUAUGACAUGUUUGCAAUUUAUGCACUUUGCAAAUACUAUUCAUUAAAUUUUGUAAAUGUUAUUUUUGUCUGAGAAAUGCUAUUUUCUUAUCAGCCUUUUAACUGAGAGUUACUUUUUUGUACGUCUUUAUAGGUUUAUGCCAUUAAGCUGCUAUGGACAGAUGGGACGAAAAAUGUAGUUUAUCGAAGAUACAGCGAAUUUCGAAAAUUGCAUGUGAGUUUUCAAAUUCAUGAGAUUAAAUGUCAAAUAGGUUGGCUAAGUAUGGGUCAUGCGAUUAUUCAUACAUUUUCGUUUGCAACUUACUGAUAAUUAAAAUAUCCUGUCGAAUUAGUUAAAAGUUAUCCUCAUUUGUUCAAAUUUGGGACAAAUUUUGAAGAAAUAAUGCCAAAAUUUCCUCCCAAGCAUCCUAGGAAAUGUCGACAAAUUGCAGAAAGUCGGCUUAAACCUCUAAAUGAUUAUUGCAAGUCUCUUCAAACCUUGGAAAAGUAUUUUAGCCGGGAUAUUCUUGUUCAGACCUUCUUCAGCCCUAAGGAGAGUGAUCUUGAUGAUAACGAACCAUCAAGAAAUAAUUCUUCAAAAAAUAUGGAAAUAUCCACUCCCAGGAAACUACAAGAAUGGCUAUGCAUAGAAGACUUUUGUCCUGAGGGAGAGUAUGAGGUAGCUGUAAAAAAAUUUGAAAUUGUCCGAGUGAUGGAAAAGUUUGAUAGCGGGUGGUGGCGAAUAAGCACGGAAGAUGGCUCUAUAGGUUGCGUUCCGGCUUCAUAUCUUCAACUCAGUCAAAACAAUGUUGUUCUGCCAGAGGCAAAAUGGUAUGAAUGUAUAAAGCCCUACUCCGCUUCUACUGACGAUGAAUUAUCACUAGAGUUGAAUCAGGAAGUCUUAAUUACAAAAACAAACGUAACGGGAUGGUGGCUAGGAUGGGCCAAUGGAAGAGAAGGCCUAAUUCCAAAGGCCUGUAUAAAGGAAAAAACAUCAAAUGCUGCUGAUGGAAACAGUUUUAGAAAAGAGAAUUUUCAUUUAUCUGUUGGCUUAUUCAAAGCUAUAGAAGAUUAUGCACCAGUCUCCGAUAAUUGCGUCAAACUUAACUCUGGGGAUAUAGUUUGCAUAACAGCAAUAUAUCCUGAUAAUUGUUGGAUGUAUGGAACAAAGCAUUUAUCUCGAAUACCAUGUGACAAAAAGCGUUGUAAUAAAUGCGGCUGGAUACCUGCUCAAUUUUUGAUUAAAGUACCAGAUAAUUCAUGUUCUAUUGCAUCAGAAAAUGGUAUUAAUGGGGAAAAUAUCUCAGAAUCCACAUGUGAAUCUUUGGACAGCCAUCCAGUCAGGGGAAUAUUUAAAUUGUAAAAAACCUCCUAUAGUGAAGCCUAAACCAACUAUUAGAUAAGCAUAUAAGAAAAAUGGCCUAAAAAGAAUUUAUUAAAUAUAAAGGCAUAAUAUGAUUCAACAUUAUUUCAUAAAUCUAUCAUUGCAUAAAUUUAUCUUUGCAAGUCUUUAAUUUAAAUAGAAUAUUUAAAACAAACAAUUGAUUUGAAGAUAUAGAUUGUCAUAUUCUCUCGUUCAUAUCUUUGUACAGCUUUCACUCAUUAUUUCUGAAUAUUUAUUCAUCAAACGAUCACAGUAUUAAAUUAAUAGUUAAUUAGAUGCAAUCGUUAUUUAAAUUGGGGUGUUUGUUUUAAUCGAGGCUAGGUGACCUUAAUAACUAUUAUUUGUGGGACUAAGGAGUUUAUGUAAAAUAUUUAACGGUAUCUUUAUGAAUGGAGUCAAAUAAAUUUUUAAAAUAUUUCUUAUUCACUUUGUAUAUUCAAACUCAUAACUGUUCCUUUGACAAGUACACCACAAUAAAUAAUGAUGUCCGUAUAUCUUACUUAUUAAACUUUGAAAUAUAAAAUUUUUAGAAAUUUUUUUUGACAAUAGAUAAAUUUGGUGGGAAAUUCUUUCACAUCUGCAACGAUUGCUCUAGUUUUAUUAUUUGACUGAGUUAUUUUAUUAAGUAAACGAUGUAUAGCUAUAUUUAGUAACAAUCUAAUUUAUAGAAAAUGCUUUGUUCAUAUGAACAUUACUCUUCCUGAAAAGUAGAAUAUUGCCAUGACAGACUAGACUGUUUGAGCAGACACAUAUAAAAGAUAUACUUCUUUAUAUA